CAGAAGAUUAACGGUAGCCUAACAAUAUCUCACUUCAAUUUUUUAUGCAGGCAUUUUAUCAUCUCAUAUCAUCACAAGAAGGUUUGACAUUCACAGCAAAAUUAAUCAGAAGGUACAGAGAUUUCUCAUCUGCACACAGAAUUGAAUAUAACUAUUCAAAGAAUCAAACUGAAGGAUAACUGGAAAUCCUCUUGAAAAUUUGGUGUAAGUCUAAACUAUGUCAAAAAAAAUUUCUAUGAAUUUUCUUCCCAGAUAUUUGUUGGUGCCUCACAAGAGAUACCGUUUUUUGAUGAAAAUCCUGAUUUAGUGAUUGCUGCAGCUCCUGAAUAUCAUCUGAAAGUUGCUUGAACUCUUCUUGCUCUUCAACUGGAACAGAACUUAAGACAG